GUUCAUUCAGCCACUAUCCGAUGUAGUUGUGAAUGAAGAUGAUUUUGUAGUUCUCUCUUGUGAGUUGAACACAGCUGAAAAUCAAACUGAGUGGCGGAAAAAUGAUGAACCGCUUUUUGAAACGAAAUCUAUCAAGGUUCUAGCAGAUAAAGGCUAUCACUGGUUGGUGUAUGCAGGAGCAAUUCCAGAAGAUACUGGCAAAUACUCAUGCAUCUGCAAUGAUGUUUCGACGUCAGCUUUCAUUAAAGUCUCAAAACAAGACUUUAAGGUGGUUCAAGCUUAACAUAUAGAUGUUGACGGACAGGUCAAAGAAAAUAGGGAUGUUUUCUCUCGUUUGCACUGUUAACGCACACACUAAGAGCCCAAAAAGGUUCCAUAACAACACAGACAUCACACAAACAUCCCGAGCAGUUGCUGUUUCAGAAGGUCUGGAGCAUAAACGUAUUAUUCGAAAUGCACGGUUUAAAGAUGACGGAUUGUACGUUGUACAACAUUAACAGUAAAGGGCGAAGCUGAUCCAUUAGUAAAGGAACAGCUAUCAGGAAAGCUUUUCUCCAGCUGUCGAAGAGGUGUUCUUGGUCUUACGCACCUAAAGCUUGGCCUAGAAUGUAUAGCAGAGAAAGAAGUGAAGAGUCGCCAUUCUGAGAUGUUGAAGACUCUGCCUCAUUUAGAAAAACCAUGUAUAUAUUGUAGUGCAGCCAGUCUUUAUCCCUUGCACAACAAGAAACAGUGUUACAGAAAACGAAACAAAAAUAAGUGUCUAUGUUCAGGUUCUCAAUAUAAUAGGCGGCCGUGUCCUAAUGGGGGAUACUGCAGUCAGCUUAAUGACCAAAUAGUUUCCGAUCAUCGGUUCGAGCAUCCUGAAUUGGAAAAUACCCAACUUGACCGAUGGAACUCCGAUCCAUGGUGUGUGGCAACUUGCUAUAUAAAUACCAAAGGCUACAAAGGGAAUGGUUUUUCUAAAGAAGUUGACUGCGCAGGACUGCUGAGUUUGUUCAUGAACAAAACAGAUGUCAGUUAUGGUGUAUUUGAUAUAGUGACAUCUAUUAUUUUAUUUUUGUUAAGAUUAGUUAACUUUUAAAAUGAUACAACUCAUCUGUACAUUCUUAAAUAUUUUUCCUACUGCUUCAGUUAGAAAAAUAAAAUUGUAGAUUAUAAGACAUUCCGUACAUGUAAGUAAUAAAGACAAUGUGUAAUGCGUGUUACAAACGCGUAAUUUCUCUAUUUUGCAUAAUUAAACAUACAAAUUUAUCUAUUAUACAUGCAAUACUUUUUGUUGUUUUUUGUAGUAUAUUUGUAUCAGAUAAAGCCAUUUCAUCCAAUGAAAUACAUAUUUACAUUGAAUAUUCUAUAGAUAUAGAUAGAUAUUUAUUGUUAUUGUUUUAGGCGAGAACAACUCGCAGUGAGAUACUGCACAAUGCAAACUUUGAACUGUCGGAGGGCAGACUUCAUGAAUGUUUAGAUAAUUUCAAAGAUGUUCUGGAAUUCAAAAACACUGCUAAUGAGGUUGUUCUUGCAAAUGAUGAAAACGCAAAAAAAAACUUUGAAAGCUGUUGACCAGGUACUUUUGAUGUACUACUACCAGAGUUUUUUGUCGAUUUCACUUUUUUAUCUAUAUCAGAUACUAAAUUAAUUUAUGCUAAAAAUCAUUUUCCUUUUUAAAUCAUAUAUAAAGAGGGUCCACCUGAUAAUAUAAUAAAGAACCUUACAUAUAUUAAGAAUGUCAAUGUUAAUGCUUAUAAGAGGGCCCCUUAAAACUCCCCUGAAAGUAUUUACGUUGGUGUCUAUUAACUGAUUAUGUUUUUAUUUUAUUAUUUAUUACAUUGUCAUAUUUACAUUAUCAUUUGAACAUGAAUUUUUUAGGGCGUUCAAUUCCAACAUCAUUGUAAUGUGUUAUAUGAUUAUCACAAUUCAGUUCAAAAAGUUUUAAGACGAUACAAAUUAAAAGAUUUGCACCUAAUAUUAUCUUAC